rnacentral:rRNA from 1 species
AUGCCGGGCUCCACCGUGCUGCUGAUCGGCGCCUCCAUGGCCGCGCUCCUCGUCAUCUCCCUCUUCACCUUCCUCUGCUCCAACCGGCGCCAGUCGCUGUCACAGCGGAGCGUCGUCGACGUCGAGCUCGGCCACGGGUGCGCGGCCGCAGGCAUCGACGAGGCCGUCCUAGCCGCGUACACGACCACGGUGUACUCCUCGGCGGGGAGGCGACGGGACGGACGCCAGAUGGCUGCUGCCGACGCGUCGGCCGACGGUGACCAGCCGCCCGACGACACGGACACGGACACGCACACGACCUGCGCGGUUUGCCUGGCGGAGUACGCGGACGGCGACGAGCUCCGGCGGCUGCCCGGCUGCAAGCACGCGUUCCCCCGGCUGUGCGUCGACGAGUGGCUCCGGCGGCGGCCGAGCUGCCCGCUCUGCCGUACGUCGCCGCCUGCGGCCACCACCGAUGACUCCUGA